rnacentral:rRNA from 1 species
AUUGAACGCUGGCGGCAUGCCUAACACAUGCAAGUCGAGCGGAUGACGGGAGCUUGCUCCUUGAUUCAGCGGCGGACGGGUGAGUAAUGCCUAGGAAUCUGCCUGGUAGUGGGGGACAACGUUUCGAAAGGAACGCUAAUACCGCAUACGUCCUACGGGAGAAAGCAGGGGACCUUCGGGCCUUGCGCUAUCAGAUGAGCCUAGGUCGGAUUAGCUUGUUGGUGAGGUAAUGGCUCAUCAAGGCGACGAUCCGUAACUGGUCUGAGAGGAUGAUCAGUCACACUGGAACUGAGACACGGUCCAGACUCCUACGGGAGGCAGCAGUGGGGAAUAUUGGACAAUGGGCGAAAGCCUGAUCCAGCCAUGCCGCGUGUGUGAAGAAGGUCUUCGGAUUGUAAAGCACUUUAAGUUGGGAGGAAGGGUUGUAGAUUAAUACUCUGCAAUUUUGACGUUACCGACAGAAUAAGCACCGGCUAACUCUGUGCCAGCCGCCGCCGUAA